rnacentral:rRNA from 1 species
AGGACGAACGCUGGCGGUGUGCUUCAUACAUGCAAGUCGAACGAUAAGGCCCUUCGGGGAUACAUAAGUGGCGGACGGGUGAGUAACACGUAGAAAAUCUACCUCGAGGAAGGGGACAACAGUUGGAAACGACUGCUAAUACCCUAUAUGAGCUGGGCUGAAACGCCUAUCUUGAAAGUUCCGGCGCCUUGAGAUGAGUCUGCGUCUGAUUAGCUAGUUGGUGGGGUAAAUGCCUACCAAGGCGACGAUCAGUAGCUGGUUUGAGAGGAUGACCAGCCACAAUGGGACUGAGACACGGCCCAUACUCCUACGGGAGGCAGCAGUAGGGAAUUUUGCGCAAUGGGGGGAAAAACCCCCUGACGCAGCAACACCGCGUGAACGACGAAGCCCUUCGGGGUGUAAAGUUCUGUCAGUAGGGACGAAUUUUGACGGUACCUACAAAGGAAGCAUCGGCUAACUACGUGCCAGCCGCCGC